UUUACUGGACAGGCCAUCCUUCCCCUACUAACGUAAAUGUCAUCUUUUCAUACUAAAUUUCUCCAUACACUGGUAUUUACUCCUACAUCUUCCAUCAGUGCUUUUGAGAAUUUUGAACACUCUUCCAUCACGCGCAUGUACCAUCAUUUAUUUAAUCUAUCUCCUAUUAGUAGGCAUUUGGGACGUUUCCUGCUCUUCCAUACUAAACAACGCAUAUAAUUUUGGACUACAUUAAACAAUUCUCUGCCUCAGUGGUUCAAGUUGGGUAAAUUAUGCGUUUACACUUUUCUUCGGAUUACUUUUAAAAUGACAACCACUAUGUUUUCCUGGUCUCAAUUAUCAGAGAAUUGGCAAGAAACCUGACAGCUGGGGCUUAGGAUUCCCCGCGCCAGACCUCUGAGCUACACCAGGGGGCGCAGUUUCCCUACUCGGCCUCGGCCACAUCCGGGUUCCACCGCAGAUUCGGGCAGGGAGCAGGCGGAACCUUUCUACCGCGUCUCUAGCUAACACGGCGGGGACAGUUUAGGCCUCCGCGCACCGUUCUCUGGGAGUCUUGCAGUUCGCUUGGUGCAGGGAAGGCGGGCGCGGAGGUUCUAUCUGCUUCUUCCUCCUUCGUGAGCAGCAUGGACGUGCUAGCGGAGGAGUUUGGGAACCUGACUCCGGAGCAGCUGGCUGCGCCGAUCCCGACUGUAGAGGAAAAAUGGAGGCUGCUUCCAGCAUUUUUAAAGGUGAAAGGCCUUGUGAAACAGCAUAUAGAUUCAUUUAACUAUUUCAUUAAUGUAGAGAUAAAGAAGAUAAUGAAAGCCAAUGAAAAGGUUACAAGUGAUGCUGACCCUAUGUGGUACUUAAAAUAUCUUAAUAUCUACGUUGGGCUUCCUGAUGUUGAAGAAAGCUUCAAUGUAACUAGACCAGUGUCCCCUCAUGAGUGCCGUUUGAGAGACAUGACAUACUCUGCCCCUAUUACAGUGGAUAUUGAAUAUACCCGAGGCAGCCAGAGGAUCAUCCGCAAUGCCUUACCCAUCGGCAGAAUGCCCAUAAUGCUACGUAGUUCAAACUGUGUUCUUACUGGAAAAACGCCAGCAGAAUUUGCCAAACUGAACGAAUGUCCUUUAGAUCCAGGUGGCUACUUCAUUGUUAAAGGAGUGGAAAAAGUUAUUCUUAUCCAAGAGCAGCUGUCUAAGAACAGGAUCAUCGUGGAGGCUGAUAGAAAAGGAGCCGUUGGAGCUUCAGUUACCAGCUCUACCCAUGAGAAAAAAAGCAGAACCAAUAUGGCUGUGAAACAAGGACGAUUUUAUUUGAGGCAUAAUACUUUGUCAGAAGAUAUACCCAUUGUCAUCAUAUUUAAGGCCAUGGGUGUUGAGAGUGACCAGGAAAUUGUGCAGAUGAUUGGAACAGAGGAGCACGUGAUGGCUGCAUUUGGGCCCAGUCUGGAAGAGUGCCAGAAAGCUCAGAUUUUCACACAGAUGCAGGCAUUAAAAUAUAUAGGGAACAAAGUAAGAAGGCAAAGGAUGUGGGGAGGUGGACCAAAGAAAACCAAAAUAGAAGAAGCAAGAGAGCUCCUGGCUUCCACCAUUCUGACCCAUGUCCCAGUUAAGGAAUUCAAUUUCCGAGCCAAAUGUAUCUAUACUGCAGUGAUGGUGCGAAGAGUAAUUCUGGCCCAAGGAGAUAAUAAAGUUGAUGACAGAGAUUAUUAUGGAAACAAGCGACUGGAAUUGGCAGGACAGCUUUUAUCUCUUCUUUUUGAAGACUUGUUCAAAAAAUUUAAUUCUGAAAUGAAAAAGAUUGCCGACCAGGUGAUUCCUAAGCAAAGAGCAGCCCAGUUUGAUGUUGUCAAACACAUGCGCCAAGACCAGAUCACCAAUGGCAUGGUGAACGCUAUUUCUACCGGAAAUUGGUCUCUAAAGAGAUUUAAAAUGGACCGCCAGGGUGUAACCCAAGUGCUGUCUCGCUUGUCAUAUAUAUCCGCACUGGGCAUGAUGACAAGAAUCUCUUCCCAGUUUGAAAAAACAAGAAAAGUGAGUGGUCCUCGCUCCCUCCAGCCAUCUCAGUGGGGAAUGCUUUGUCCUUCGGACACUCCUGAAGGAGAGGCAUGUGGUUUGGUUAAAAACUUGGCCCUUAUGACACACAUCACAACUGAUAUGGAAGAUGGACCCAUUGUUAAAUUAGCCAGUAACUUGGGAGUAGAAGAUGUGAAUUUAUUAUGUGGGGAAGAGCUCUCUUACCCAAAUGUGUUUCUUGUGUUUCUUAAUGGUAACAUCUUGGGUGUCAUUCGCGACCACAAAAAGCUGGUGAAUACAUUUCGACUCAUGAGAAGAGCAGGAUAUAUCAAUGAAUUUGUUUCCAUCUCAACAAAUCUUACAGAUCGAUGUGUCUAUAUUUCUUCUGAUGGAGGAAGGCUAUGCAGACCCUACAUAAUUGUCAAGAAACAGAAGCCAGCAGUCACAAAUAAACAUAUGGAAGAGCUGGCCCAAGGGUACAGGAAUUUUGAAGAUUUCUUACAUGAGAGUCUGGUUGAAUAUUUAGAUGUGAAUGAAGAAAAUGAUUGUAACAUUGCACUGUACGAACACACAAUUAAUAAAGACACCACCCACUUGGAGAUUGAGCCCUUCACUCUUCUCGGCGUGUGUGCUGGACUGAUCCCAUACCCUCACCAUAACCAGUCACCGAGAAACACUUACCAGUGUGCCAUGGGGAAACAAGCCAUGGGUACUAUAGGAUACAACCAGCGAAACAGAAUUGAUACUCUCAUGUAUCUACUAGCAUAUCCACAAAAACCCAUGGUUAAGACAAAAACCAUUGAAUUGAUAGAAUUUGAGAAACUGCCAGCUGGACAGAAUGCAACAGUUGCUGUGAUGAGCUAUAGUGGCUAUGAUAUUGAAGAUGCCCUUGUUUUAAACAAGGCCUCUUUAGACAGAGGCUUUGGGCGUUGCCUUGUAUAUAAAAAUGCUAAAUGUACAUUGAAACGAUAUACCAAUCAGACUUUUGAUAAAGUAAUGGGGCCCAUGUUGGAUGCUGCUACAAGGAAACCUAUCUGGCGACAUGAAAUCUUAGAUGCAGAUGGUAUUUGUUCUCCAGGUGAGAAAGUAGAAAACAAACAAGUGCUUGUAAAUAAGUCCAUGCCCACGGUGACUCAGAUUCCUUUGGAAGGAAGUAAUGUACCACAGCAACCACAGUACAAAGAUGUACCCAUAACCUAUAAAGGAGCCACAGAUUCAUACAUUGAAAAAGUGAUGAUAUCUUCAAAUGCUGAAGAUGCUUUUCUGAUCAAAAUGCUGCUGAGACAGACAAGGCGUCCAGAAAUUGGAGACAAAUUCAGCAGUCGUCAUGGGCAAAAAGGUGUUUGUGGCUUGAUUGUCCCCCAGGAAGACAUGCCAUUUUGUGAUUCUGGCAUCUGUCCGGAUAUCAUCAUGAACCCACACGGCUUCCCAUCACGAAUGACGGUGGGGAAGCUCAUUGAGCUGCUGGCUGGCAAGGCCGGUGUGCUGGACGGCAGAUUCCACUACGGCACUGCGUUUGGAGGCAGUAAAGUGAAGGAUGUGUGUGAGGACCUCGUUCGUCACGGUUAUAACUACUUGGGGAAAGACUAUGUUACAUCGGGCAUCACAGGUGAGCCCUUAGAAGCAUACAUAUAUUUUGGCCCCGUGUACUAUCAGAAGCUGAAACACAUGGUGCUGGAUAAAAUGCAUGCCCGGGCCCGGGGCCCACGAGCCGUCCUUACCAGGUGUGCUUAUGUGCUUUUACAGAUGAGGCUGAGUAGCAUGUUCAAGGUCACUGUCCAGUUAUUGAUUUGGAUCCAGGCAACCCACUGAAGGACGGUCUCGUGAUGGUGGCUUGCGUCUUGGAGAAAUGGAACGUGACUGUUUAAUCGGUUAUGGAGCCAGUAUGCUUUUGCUAGAGAGACUAAUGAUUUCAAGUGAUGCCUUUGAGGUUGAUGUCUGUGGGCAGUGUGGACUUCUGGGGUACUCUGGCUGGUGCCAUUACUGCAAGUCAUCCUGCCACGUGUCUUCCCUCCGUAUUCCAUAUGCCUGCAAGCUGCUCUUCCAGGAGCUACAGUCUAUGAACAUUAUCCCCAGGUUAAAACUGUCCAAGUACAAUGAAUGAGGAUAGAAAAAAAUGAUUAUUAAAGAGAACAAGCGAUACAUCCAAUACAAUGGAAAGCAGAAGGGAUUUAGGACUACUACUCCUCCUGUGAAGAAUUCCCUUGUGUAUUCUGUCACUAAAACAAACAAACAAAAAAAUGGAGAGGCUUUUGAUAUACUACAAGACUGGCUAAACAACCUUGAUCAGUGAACCUUGAGCCAUGGGAGAGAUGCUGACCGUGUGGACUGCAAGGCAGCUUGAUUCACAGAUGGAUGUGACCUACAGGAGAAAUAAACCAUUACUUAUGUGCUGAUGUCUUGACAUUCACUCAUUAGAAGACCUUACUCCUUCAAGAGAAUGUCUGGGGUCAAAUUUACCAUAUCUUCUGGCUAACGAUCUUCAAGGUUCUUCUGGAAACUUGGAAGAUGUAAAGAAUCCAUUUGAUUUGGUCAGCCUGGCUUUUGUGGCUGGCUCUGAUAAAUUUUCCCAACAAUUAAAUCUUGCCUUUAUACACCGAAACUUUGUAAUUUCAGUCUUGGUGAAAUAUAAUGACAUUCUUGUCAAGCAAGAAUGUCAUCUUCCCUUAUGGACUCAAUUGCUAUUAUUUUGAACCUCCAUGAUUGUACCAUGCAACAAUAUUCAUUAAAUAUCUGAAUCUAA